GUUGAGAUCAUCCUGAAGCUGAAGAUGAAGCAGGAAGGAAUUCAUCAUCCUGACCUGACUGUUACAAACGUCUGGUAAUACCCUCCUUCAGCCAAUCUAACUCAUCCUCAUGGGGUAAAGCUGAAGCUCUGGUGCCAGUGGGGCACCCCUCUGCCUAUCUACAAGGGGAACCUCUGCCGCUGCGGACUUUCUUGCCCUGUUUGUGUUAUCCUCACCAUUCAGUGGAACAAUAAUCUGACCACCAUAACUGAUAGUCCAUGCUGGAAGGAGAAGACAGCAACAGAGGAUACUGGUGGCAGUCAAUACAAGCACAGCCUAAUGCCUCGAGAAUUUUCUGGGAGUUGCAUGAACAAUCCCAAAGCAAUGCAGAUCAAACUGGCAGGAGAAGAGCAACUGGAAACUGGGUCUUAAGCAAGUGCUGUUGCUGAAGAAGGGGAUGGUAGCCUGGGACUGUCCGGUUGUGUAUUUCCUACUGAUAUCACAGAAAGCCCUGAAGAAAACAAUCUUUGAUGGAGAAUAACAUAUUUCAAAAGACAACUUCCCACCUCCAAAGUUUGUGGAUAAUUAGAAGAUUGAUAAGCAGCUUUGCAAGCCAUUUAUACUCAAUGUGUUUUUCUUUCCAGCACCUCAAAUUAUUCAUUUCUCUGUGUAUGUUAGGCAUCCCAAACCCAGGCAUUUUCCAUAGAAAGGACAGAGGUGUUCCCUGUGUGCUCACUGAGCUAUACACCUCUUACAUGUCCUGCCAAUUUCAAUUCUAAGCAAUAUAAAAUUUUUAGCAUCUACUGUGACAAUGACUUGUGUGUUGCUUUAUCUUCCACAUGCAUUUGCAAGUGAGAACAGCAUGCACUUCCUGAGGCAGACAAACCCUGUGAAUUUCUAUAGAUGGACAAACUGAGAUGAAAAAAAGCAAGGUCACGAGAUCGCAGGAGUUGAGAUGAAUUUUGGAACUGGAGAUUCUGCUGCCCAGAACUUUUGGCUACAGAUAAAGUUACACAUUAACCAUAGGAUGUGACUGUAUCUGAGCCAGGUUAAGGUUUUCAACAUUUAACAAUGCCAAAGUUGGGAAUUCAGUGGAAAAAGUCUUUUGAGUCACAAUAUGUGGCAAACUCAUAUUCAGGACAGAUGGCAUUUUCUAAAAGUAGCUGUUUACUCCUAGAAUUACUCUUCUUCCUUCCUGUGGCAUAUCUUCCUCAUUCAGUGGUGCUCCUGCCCACAAGCUUGUCUUUUCCAGCAUAUUUCUUGUGGUAAUUUCAACGAUCUUUUUUUUUUUUAAAAAAAAAAAAAGGAAAAAGCUAUUAAAAAAAACCUCUCUCUCUGUCUUUGUCUUCUUACCUUCAUGUUCCUCUCUCACAACAUCCUGUCCUAAUUAUGGAUAAAUGUACAAUGCUUAGUUAUUUUGGAAAACAUCUUCCGUCUUCAUAUAGAAGGUAUAAUUAGAAGCUUAGUUCAUCUUGCAUUUUGUUCAGCUAAAUGUCACACCCUCUAUUUGUGUUUUUCUUUCCUUUGUUUCCCUCUAACUAAGGAAAUCAAGAAUAGAUUGCAAAAAUAAAUAUACUUCGCUU